UCCGCUUAGAGUAAAACGGGUGGGCCCUCGAAGCUCGAAAGCGGUGGGAUUCAGUCUCCGGACGAUCGCGGAGUCGGCGGCGUCGGGUAAACGGCCCCCUUCGGGGGGCUGUUCUGGCUGCUGGCACGCAGACGCGGUCUCCGGGGUGCGCACUUCCCACCGCCGGUAGAACGCCGCGACGGACGCGGGUCAAUGGGAAAAGUACGACUUUGAGUCCGGCUGUGGAGGUGCCCUGCCCGUCCCUUCGGGGACGGCUCGCGGGGGUUAUACCUCGCCGUGUACGAGAGGUUCGUCACCCCGUCCAGGCCCCAUGGGCUUCUCCCGGUUGUCGGGAGGCCCGAACGAUGACGCCCUCCGGAAACGGAGCGGAGAACCCGCUGGGCAAGCUUGUCGUCUCCUGCUGUCCGGGUUGGUCCCGCGGCGGCGGGUUGGCCGGCGAGAAGCCGCUGCGAGCGGGGCAAUUCUCCCGCGGAGGCGCUAUCGUGGUUUGCGGCGAGUAGGUCGGUAACCCACCCGACCCGUCUUGAAACA
rnacentral:rRNA from 1 species